AUGGCAGAUGUGAAUUAUUUAAAAUCACGUGCAUAUCCUCAGCCACCACCACUUGUGCUCGAAUGCGAUGGGAGAUUGUUUAAUACAUUUGAAGAGGAAUUUGGUCAAUUAUAUGGUUAUAAGGACUACAAUUGCAAUCUUGAUCAUCGUAGCUUUGGGGAGCAGGUCUGGGCUAAACUUCCAAAGAAAGUUGUUACAAAUAUUGGCCGGCGUGUUGUCUCACUCUCUUCAUACGAUGGAGAUGUGAGAUAUUUUUCAUGUACAGGCCUACUUAUAAAGUGGCAUAAAAAUGGUAAGCCUGUUAUCCUUACUUCGGCCAGUUUGGUUAGAAGUCGGGUUGAUGAAGACAAGAUUGAUGAGAAACUGAAGAUUAAAGUACUUCUCCCACCGAAACAGGUCGUUCAUGGGACACUGGAACUGUACCAUUCAGAUUAUAACAUUGCUGUCAUCAGUCUUCAGAAGCCUCUAUAUGGUAUUCGUCCGGAGAAUAUUUUCUGCACGGUGGAACGAACACGAAGAGUAGUUGCUAUAGGGCGCGAGGCUGAGGAUGGAUUAUUGAUGGGGACAAUUGGUAAAUUGGUCAAGAAGCGUCCGAAUGAGAAACUUAACUGCGAAGACCUUAAGCUCUCUACAUGUAAAAUCAAGAAGGUUGGGAUUGGAGGGCCCCUUGUUAAUUUUGAUAAUGGGUAUUUUGUUGGCAUGAACUUCUAUGGUGAAACUGGUGUAACUCCUUACCUGCCGAGGGCAAUCAUCGUGGAAGUUUUAAGCGGGAUUGAUCUCCCAUCUCAAAGAGGAAUGGACCAUGCCACUGACAUAAUGGGUGCCGCAACAGUUAAGAAAAACAGGUGGCCGGUGCCUAAGCCAUAUUGGUACCAUCCCCUAUUCGAUGAUGAUGCUCCGUUGCAUUUUUAUGGAAGGCAACUCCAGUAG
rnacentral:rRNA from 1 species